GAAGGACAAUGUGCAGCUAGAAGGCCUAAGACCAAACAGAUGGGACCAGUUCAGAGUAGCAGCAAUCAGUGUCCACGGCACACGUGGUUUCGCUGCUCCAAGCAAACAUUUCCACUCCUCUAGAGGUGAAGGCACAAGGCUUGAUGCCUGAGGGGGACAUUCAGAGAGACCCGAGAGGGAUCAGAGGUGCAGCAAGCCCUAUUCGAGGUCUGACCCACUCAGUCACACUGCGGAGGUAUUGAAUGAAUUGCCAACAUCCCAUAAAGUACGCCACUUAAGACUAGAAGCAGCAUCCCCUUAUUAUUAUGAUUGUCAGUUGCAAGUGGAAGUGCAGUGGAAGAAAG